rnacentral:lncRNA from 1 species
GGCUCCCUUGUACUGCUGCAUCAUAUGGAUAUCAUACAGAUGUGGAAGUCUCCGAAAUGGAUUCACCGCAAUUAGGAUAUUCCCUGUGUAAGUCUGCAAAUUUGGGAUGUUUUUUACAUCGAUAAGACUUGCUUUCUGCAGCUACUCCUGUGAAGUUCACGAUUGAAUGAAAAAGUAUGACUUACAUAUAUCUCAUUUAGAGCAUACCGACAAGCAAGGUUAUUUAGAACCCCAGGCUCAUGUAGGUAAGCUAACUUGGUCAUGUCAUCAACCCCUGCUGGUGGUGCUUCGGUGUCCUUUGGGUAUAUGCUAGAAAUAGGAGCAACUGUCUGGAGCAGAAAGUAGUGUUAUGGCUUAAUAUAAAUAAAUGUUGGCUGUUCACAUGUUAAGAACAUUAGUUUGUAGAAAUUAUGUUUAUUGCAUCCUAAAAAUAUCAACAGAGCACAUUCGUAAAUGUUCAUGGUAGAGGAUACCUAUCAUGAAAAUCAAUAAUAGUUCAAUGUAAGGCAAAAGGAAAAGCUGCACAAACUGUCCUACAGGUAUAUUGAUGUUUUAUAUCUGAUUGAUUAUAUUUAACUAUUAUCGUCCUAUUUGUUCCAUGACCGAUCCCAUUUGCUUGGGAACUUCUGUCCUAGACUGUGUUUCAAUAAGCUUAUAAAAGCUAAUAAGCUCCUAAUUUUCAUAUAAUAUGCAUUACGACUUUGAUUUGACACUGUAAUAUUGUUCAGACAGCAUCUUUUGCAAUCAUAAUAUAUUCUCUGAAAGAUGCUACCAAUAUCAGAUUUCUGUGAGGUUCUGACUUUAUUGAUUAGAGUAUGACUGCUUACCUUCCUCCCAUUAGUUGUGACUACUGUAGCAUUUGAGCCCUUAAUUUCUGUAACUUCUCCAUCAAUCCAAGCAUCAUCAGGAUCCUCAAUCCACACUUGGGAUCCAACUAUGAUGUUUACAGGAGUUCCCUGAAUCACAAAAGAUAAAAUUCAAUAUUUCCUUCAUCAAUUGAAACAGAAGAACAUGAGAUAUUGAUCAUAGAGAAGUCUCACCAUGGAAGUACUUUAGACUAUCUGAUCAUGGAACUCAACAGAGAAUUGUUAUAAGAGACUGAUGAAUUGAUAUAUUGAGGGGAAAAGGACGAAGGGAAGAGAAAUGAAUUUCAGAGAGAAUGUGGUGUUCUUAAGGAAAUGAUGAAUGGAUGAAUGGAUGAAUGUAGAAACAGAAAAGUAAAAAAAAAAAAAGAAUGUUGAAAAAGAAUGUUUCAAAGGCAGGCUAAAAGCAGAGGUAAUGAAGAUGGUGGUAACUCAAAAGCAAAAGGCAGAGCAGUCACCCCUCACCACCACCCCUUCCCCACAUCAUGUCAGCUUUUAUUCUACCAAGUCCACAUAGGAUGCUGACUUGGCACCUGUACAGCUUUGAAAUACAGAAACUUCUGCUACUUUUGGGUUGGCUAUUUGUACAAAUACAUUGCUUAAAUUUACAGGCAAAAUCAUUUUCAAAUUGAUACCUUAAUAAAAUAGAUCAUAGUUUUUAUUUAAAGAUUUUAUUCUCUAUCUAUAACUUGUGCUAUGCACUGAAAAGCCAGGGUGUUUGUCAUGAUGCUGUGCAUUACCAAAGAGUUGUGGGUUGGACCAGGUCUGAUUAAUGUAUAGUUAAUAUGUGAGUGAAGGUGGUGUCUUUUUGCAUAAUUGUUGGCUUUACUUUCUCUUAAAUCAAUGGGGGUUAAAGAUGAUUAGAUCUAAAUUCGCUACAGAAAUGCCCCACUUACUGCCUUUGCUACCCCCAUCUUUACUGAGCUACUUUCACCUGUUCUCUUCCCUUCUUUUUUUUCAGGUUAACUUUUUCGCCACCUGGGGUUUCUAUCAAAUUCAACACCAGGAUGCAGGCAGGUAUUACUAUGUUAAAGACUUUUAAGAUUCUCCCAGAAUUCUUACUAAUAUUUUAAGAAUUUAUGUUGUGCUCAAAUUGUGGACUUUCACAGAGUUACACAAAUUCAUGACAAUGUUACAUGACAUUGUAUUUGUAUUUCCUCAAGACUGGCCGCACUCUGAUUUUCUUCUCCCAUUUUGAUCUACUAUUGAUUUCAAGAUUUUCCUGAAGUUUCAGCUUUACGUCACUGGCAUCCAAAAAUUUUGCAGUGAUUUUAGCUUUUAAGAAUAGGAAAAGGAGUUGAAAUGGGGAAUUCUUGAAAUGCCAGUCAUGAGUCAUACUGAGGCAAAAAGGACCACCAUGGGGAUUGUAGUUGUAGAAAAGAGAUGUACAGAAGUUAGAAAAAUAGCUAGCUGCCAGUGGAUCACCUGGAAACUAACUGGAUUUAACUUACAUAAUUUGACAUUGUAAAAUUUUUAACAUGUUGUAACACUUGUCUUGCUUUAGGCUACUAAUUUCACUUUUUAUGAGUAA